UACGUAGGGUGCUAGCGUUGUCCGGAUUUAUUGGGCGUAAAGAGCUUGUAGGCGGUUUGUCGCGUCUGCUGUGAAAAUCCGGGGCUCAACCCCGGACUUGCAGUGGGUACGGGCAGACUAGAGUGUGGUAGGGGAGACUGGAAUUCCUGGUGUAGCGGUGAAAUGCGCAGAUAUCAGGAGGAACACCGAUGGCGAAGGCAGGUCUCUGGGCAUUAACUGACGCUGAGGAGCGAAAGCAUGGGGAGCGAACAGG
rnacentral:rRNA from 1 species